rnacentral:lncRNA from 1 species
CCAUCUUCUCUCUCUAGAUUCUCUCUCUAGAUACUCUCUCUAUUUUCUCUCUCUAGACCUUUUCUCUCUCUCUCUCUUUAUGGAUUUUGUCUCUUUAGGGUCAUUUUCUCUCUUUGAUUGCAUCACGGAUCCUAGGAUAAACUUGAGAUAAAAAUAUGAUGACUUGAGAUUGUUUCAAAAUUCAUGCAGUAGAUUGGAUCUCGGUCCGGUCCUUAUUCAAAUUUAUAAUAUCGAUCAUGGUUAAUCCAUAUUGAAUUGCUCUGAUAGAACCUCUGAUAAUUUCAAUCAUGAUUUCUUCAUCUGAAGGAUACAAAGAUUCUCUCUACUUUCUCUCUCU